UGGGUGGAGCUGUGAGAACCUGGAAGGCGGCGCGCGGAGCCACCCCCGAGGCGGCGAGCAGGCUCCCUCCCGGGGGCGAGCCCGCGGGGCUGUGCAGCGUGUGGGGUUUUUCAAGAAAACCCCCCAAGUUGUAAACGUAGGGAGGGCGUCAAGCACAUAUUUUAAACGCUCCCAGAAUCUUUGAUGCCUGGCACUUCUGCACUGAGGGAACCUGCUUGCUGGCCGCAAGGAGCGGGUUUGGAAAGACGAGUUGGCUUCAGUCCUCCACGCCCAACCCCCCUGGGAUAUGUAGGCAGCUGGGCGGAGCCUAAGGCUGAGCCCUCUUCAGUCACCUGCGCAGAAAGCAGCGAGCUGAGUGUUGAACGGAAAAAGAGCUUCCCGAGUGUUCAGAUGGAUUUUAAAAUUGAACACACUUGGGAUGGUCUUCCAGUGAAGCAUGAGCCAGCAUUUGUCAGGUUGAAUCCAGGCGAUGGAGGAGUGAUGAUGGAAGUUAGUGCUCCAUUUUUCAAUGAUCCUCCAGCCCCACUUGGAGAACCAGGAAAACCUUUCAAUGAACUGUGGGAUUAUGAAGUUGUGGAAGCAUUUUUCUUGAAUGACAUAACCAAACAAUAUUUAGAAGUUGAACUUUGUCCAUAUGCACAUAUUGCAGACAUGAAGGAAAGUAAAGGAAAUAACAUUUGUUUCUUUCAAACACUCAUGGGGAAUUUUAAUUUUGACAGUCAUGGACAACAUUUGGUGCUUUUACUCUCUGGAAGAAGAAAUGUGUGGAAAAAAGAACUUGCUCUGUCGUACAAAGUGUGCACAGGAGAGACAAAAUGGGAAGGUAGAGCUUAUCUUCCUUGGAGUUAUUUUCCACCACAUGUGACAAAAUUCAAUGCAUUUGCUAUUCAUGGAUCAAAAGAUAAGAGAAACUAUGAAGCUCUUUACCCUGUACCUCGACAUGAACUGCAGCAAGGACAAAAACCUGAUUUCCAUCGUCUGGAAUAUUUCAAGCCUUUCGGUUUUAACACACUGCUUGGAGAAGAAUGGAAACAACCAGAAUCAGAGCUGUGGCUAACAGAGAAACCUGAUGUACAGGAGUAUAGUAGAUGACCAUAUCAGUCAUUUCUCCUCUGUAUCUUUUAAGAGUUACUACAUGGGACAACUUACUCUCAAGUUUAAACUUAGGAUUCAAGGCUUACUGAUCGAAGUGAAUGCUUUCUUUGACAGUUCUCCAUCACCACCACGGCAAGGUCCUCCCAAAUUAUGUAAGCUUCUACUCCACAAACCCUCUGGAUCCAACCCUGAAUGGGGAUGAUAGCCAUCUUUUUCAUCUUGCAAAACUGAAGUGCUGUACUCAUCGAAUAGUAACUCCGUGUUGGAGGAGGUCAUCAAGAGAAAAUGAGUGCUGGUUGGCUCCAAGCUGGACCCAGGCUUCUUACCCCUUCCCCUGUCCUUGGAAUAUACAUCUACCCAUCACUCCCACUGUGGGAACUAUUUUCAAGGGCUAAGCUUUGAGAGAGCGAUGUUUUGUUGAGGCCAUCUGGUUGUAUACAUGACCAAACCCCGUUAACGCCUCCAUAUAAACUUUUAGGAUUCUGACAGGUUUCAUCCAGGAAUUACAAAUCAUUGGAAAAAGAAAGGAAAUAAUAAUUAGUUCAUUUUGUUUCCUGAUCGCACCCAGUAAGUCACCAAGCAAUGGGAUGCUUUUGGGACCAUUUAUGCAUUGGGAGAAAGCUGAUGAAAAGAUUCGGUAAAACAUUUCUGGAUUGUGAUGUGGUCAAAUCAUGUUUUGUAAAAGAAAUUUGUCCAGUUUGUGGCAUAGCAAAAGGUAAGGAGGUGAUAGUCAUAAUGACAAAGAUCACAGGACCCUGAUUUACGAUAGAAUCAGCAUCAACUCCUACUCCAAAACAAUGCCAAGUGAACUAAAGUUCAAGAGUUUGUUAAGGAAGGCUGUAUAACCAUGGAGAUAGUCCAUGUUCUGCCCACAGGUGCACUUUGCAAUCAUUGCUUAAAUAUAAGAUAGUUCCCAAAUGAGCAUCUCAGAAUAUAACAGCUCAAAGUUUGCAUAACUUACUUGAAUUUCAUUUAGAAAGCAGGUCUGGACACCCCAAACAAUAAGUAGAUAUUUAAAAAUAACCCAAACACAUUGCAAAUUAAAUGAUGAACAAAUUGACUUUUAAAUUGACUGCUGGCAAUGUGCCAGUUUGGGCAGGAGGACUGGGAGCUGUGCUCUGCUCACACUCUUGCAUCAUACCUCAUAGUUACAGCUGCAAAGUUCUUUUCUGUCUUUUUAUUUCAAUAGAGAAAGGCCUUCACUUGGCUUAAUAACCUUUUCCUUCUUGAAUAAGGAGUUUCUGUUUGCAAUCACAUGAAUAGAAAAAGACCUGCUCCAGAAACUCUGGGAGAUUAUUUCAUGCCUAGCUACAAAAAUAAGGCUUUGAAAGAGCAGAAGGGAUGGAAUAACUACAUUAUGAGCAAAUUCUUGUGAGGUAAAUUAUUGUUCAGAAUUUUUGAACUGAUUUUUUUAAAAAGCAAAUAAUAAUAAUAAUUACAAUCCUGCAAAUGGUAUUGCCUAGUGGGAGACAACACUAGCUUUGCUGGAAACACUACCAGGUGCCUGCACUUUGUUCUCCUCCCAUGUCGCAGCCUGAAACAUUCUAAACCUAGGAAAAGAUCUUCAUUCAUCCAAAGGAAAUGUCUCCUUGCUUGAUUCUGGGACAUUUCCACCUCUACAGAGAUAGACAUGAUAAUGUGAUCCUUUCACCUGUAUGGGUCAGAAUAAAGUUUGAGGCUUCAAGUAAAUUACAAGCUAGCAGAAGGGUUAAUCCACACUACGCUGUUUCAUCAUUAAAAAUGCUUCUGUUGGGGUGUGGGUGUCCUCUGAACUUCCUUGGUCAAAACCAGCAAUUGGAUAAUUGAAAUUAAUUGAAGGAGCAAAGGAGAGGGUGAGUGCAAGCCUGUGUUCACAGGUCAGAGUUUCUCUUUCUAGUUCUAAUAUUCCCAUUAGAAUCUUCAGCUUCACUAAGCCUGGACCUGUAACCUUCACCAUGUCUAAUAGGACCAACUUGAUUCCCAGUCUUGAAACUUUAAUGAUGACAAAUAUAUUCUUUUGCAUUCAGCUGAAGAUUUUAGCUGCAUUUUGGGAGAGAGGUUUAAAAUCAGAGCUAAUUAGAGCAGUUAGGAAGGUGUCUGGUAGAAGGGAAGUGGGCGGAGAGGAGUGAUUUCUCUACCAUCUUCAGACUCUCCCAGUGAGGAAAGUGGUAGUUGAUCUGAAGACGGCAGCCUACUGUGCUCUUGACCUAUUCCUGGUCUGACUGCUCUCUCCCUCUUUCUCUCUGUUGCCAUGAGGAUCUUCUGUGUCUGUCUUCCCCUCAGGUCCCACAUCAGCACGUUCAGUACAUGAGACAAAAGAUUGUCACCAGAAACAGACUAGGCCUCCCCUUGUCAAAAGGACCAUCAGUACCUGACCUCCCUCUUCCCAAGCGACUCAGUCUCUGGCAGGUGUUACAAGCUGAAACUGAGUUUUGUGGCAGCUGCUCCUGGAACCUCUGAGACAGCGUGGCGCUCCUGGAACGAGGGCAACAGUGAGGAAGCUGCCUAUAUCACAGUCCUGUGCCAGUCCUGGCUCCUCCUCUGGAGAAUGUGGCUGCUUGCAAAGAAAAGUUGUUUUAUCUUACAUGAAAAGAAUUGUUUUUUGUUUCUUGUUUACCCAGUGUUCACUGUUUAAAAAUAAUACAGCAUCUUCGUUAAGGGGUAAACUUAGAAAACAUUACUCCUACUUGCAUUUUUCUCUAGGUGCCAACACACCUCAGCAAGCUUUCAGACAACAGUCACCUAGCAACAGUUUUUUCAUACAUUAAAUGAUUUCAAAUCUCACAUUUUCCUCCAUGAGAGCUGUAUAUUUCACCUUUUCUUUCCCUCUUACAGCUCAAGGAAAGAGCAACCAAGAAAGAGAAAGUGUAUUCAGUUUCAUCAUAAAAUAUCGGUUUUAAACUAUUGCUUUUAAA